GGGUUGUGAGGUUAAGCGACUAAGCGUACACGGUGGAUGCCCUGGCAGUCAGAGGCGAUGAAGGACGUGCUAAUCUGCGAUAAGCGUCGGUAAGGUGAUAUGAACCGUUAUAACCGGCGAUUUCCGAAUGGGGAAACCCAGUGUGUUUCGACACACUAUCAUUAACUGAAUCCAUAGGUUAAUGAGGCGAACCGGGGGAACUGAAACAUCUAAGUACCCCGAGGAAAAGAAAUCAACCGAGAUUCCCCCAGUAGCGGCGAGCGAACGGGGAGCAGCCCAGAGCCUGAAUCAGUGUGUGUGUUAGUGGAAGCGUCUGGAAAGGCGCGCGAUACAGGGUGACAGCCCCGUACACAAAAAUGCACAUGCUGUGAGCUCGAUGAGUAGGGCGGGACACGUGGUAUCCUGUCUGAAUAUGGGGGGACCAUCCUCCAAGGCUAAAUACUCCUGACUGACCGAUAGUGAACCAGUACCGUGAGGGAAAGGCGAAAAGAACCCCGGCGAGGGGAGUGAAAAAGAACCUGAAACCGUGUACGUACAAGCAGUGGGAGCACGCUUCGGCGUGUGACUGCGUACCUUUUGUAUAAUGGGUCAGCGACUUAUAUUCUGUAGCAAGGUUAACCGAAUAGGGGAGCCGAAGGGAAACCGAGUCUUAACUGGGCGUUAAGUUGCAGGGUAUAGACCCGAAACCCGGUGAUCUAGCCAUGGGCAGGUUGAAGGUUGGGUAACACUAACUGGAGGACCGAACCGACUAAUGUUGAAAAAUUAGCGGAUGACUUGUGGCUGGGGGUGAAAGGCCAAUCAAACCGGGAGAUAGCUGGUUCUCCCCGAAAGCUAUUUAGGUAGCGCCUCGUGAAUUCAUCUCCGGGGGUAGAGCACUGUUUCGGCAAGGGGGUCAUCCCGACUUACCAACCCGAUGCAAACUGCGAAUACCGGAGAAUGUUAUCACGGGAGACACACGGCGGGUGCUAACGUCCGUCGUGAAGAGGGAAACAACCCAGACCGCCAGCUAAGGUCCCAAAGUCAUGGUUAAGUGGGAAACGAUGUGGGAAGGCCCAGACAGCCAGGAUGUUGGCUUAGAAGCAGCCAUCAUUUAAAGAAAGCGUAAUAGCUCACUGGUCGAGUCGGCCUGCGCGGAAGAUGUAACGGGGCUAAACCAUGCACCGAAGCUGCGGCAGCGACGCUGAUGCGUUGUUGGGUAGGGGAGCGUUCUGUAAGCCUGCGAAGGUGUGCUGUGAGGCAUGCUGGAGGUAUCAGAAGUGCGAAUGCUGACAUAAGUAACGAUAAAGCGGGUGAAAAGCCCGCUCGCCGGAAGACCAAGGGUUCCUGUCCAACGUUAAUCGGGGCAGGGUGAGUCGACCCCUAAGGCGAGGCCGAAAGGCGUAGUCGAUGGGAAACAGGUUAAUAUUCCUGUACUUGGUGUUACUGCGAAGGGGGGACGGAGAAGGCUAUGUUGGCCGGGCGACGGUUGUCCCGGUUUAAGCGUGUAGGCUGGUUUUCCAGGCAAAUCCGGAAAAUCAAGGCUGAGGCGUGAUGACGAGGCACUACGGUGCUGAAGCAACAAAUGCCCUGCUUCCAGGAAAAGCCUCUAAGCAUCAGGUAACAUCAAAUCGUACCCCAAACCGACACAGGUGGUCAGGUAGAGAAUACCAAGGCGCUUGAGAGAACUCGGGUGAAGGAACUAGGCAAAAUGGUGCCGUAACUUCGGGAGAAGGCACGCUGAUAUGUAGGUGAGGUCCCUCGCGGAUGGAGCUGAAAUCAGUCGAAGAUACCAGCUGGCUGCAACUGUUUAUUAAAAACACAGCACUGUGCAAACACGAAAGUGGACGUAUACGGUGUGACGCCUGCCCGGUGCCGGAAGGUUAAUUGAUGGGGUUAGCGCAAGCGAAGCUCUUGAUCGAAGCCCCGGUAAACGGCGGCCGUAACUAUAACGGUCCUAAGGUAGCGAAAUUCCUUGUCGGGUAAGUUCCGACCUGCACGAAUGGCGUAAUGAUGGCCAGGCUGUCUCCACCCGAGACUCAGUGAAAUUGAACUCGCUGUGAAGAUGCAGUGUACCCGCGGCAAGACGGAAAGACCCCGUGAACCUUUACUAUAGCUUGACACUGAACAUUGAGCCUUGAUGUGUAGGAUAGGUGGGAGGCUUAGAAGUGUGGACGCCAGUCUGCAUGGAGCCGACCUUGAAAUACCACCCUUUAAUGUUUGAUGUUCUAACGUUGACCCGUAAUCCGGGUUGCGGACAGUGUCUGGUGGGUAGUUUGACUGGGGCGGUCUCCUCCUAAAGAGUAACGGAGGAGCACGAAGGUUGGCUAAUCCUGGUCGGACAUCAGGAGGUUAGUGCAAUGGCAUAAGCCAGCUUGACUGCGAGCGUGACGGCGCGAGCAGGUGCGAAAGCAGGUCAUAGUGAUCCGGUGGUUCUGAAUGGAAGGGCCAUCGCUCAACGGAUAAAAGGUACUCCGGGGAUAACAGGCUGAUACCGCCCAAGAGUUCAUAUCGACGGCGGUGUUUGGCACCUCGAUGUCGGCUCAUCACAUCCUGGGGCUGAAGUAGGUCCCAAGGGUAUGGCUGUUCGCCAUUUAAAGUGGUACGCGAGCUGGGUUUAGAACGUCGUGAGACAGUUCGGUCCCUAUCUGCCGUGGGCGCUGGAGAACUGAGGGGGGCUGCUCCUAGUACGAGAGGACCGGAGUGGACGCAUCACUGGUGUUCGGGUUGUCAUGCCAAUGGCACUGCCCGGUAGCUAAAUGCGGAAGAGAUAAGUGCUGAAAGCAUCUAAGCACGAAACUUGCCCCGAGAUGAGUUCUCCCUGACCCUUUAAGGGUCCUGAAGGAACGUUGAAGACGACGACGUUGAUAGGCCGGGUGUGUAAGCGCAGCGAUGCGUUGAGCUAACCGGUACUAAUGAACCGUGAGGCUUAACCUUACAACGCCGAAGCUGUU
rnacentral:rRNA from 1 species